AUUAGCUGGUUGGUGAGGUAAUGGCCCACCAAGGCGACGAUCAGUAGCCGGACUGAGAGGUUGGCCGGCCACAUUGGGACUGAGACACGGCCCAAACUCCUACGGGAGGCAGCAUG
rnacentral:rRNA from 1 species